rnacentral:rRNA from 1 species
UACAGAGGGUGCAAGCGUUAAUCGGAGUUACUGGGCGUAAAGGGCGCGUAGGCGGUUAACUAAGUCAGACGUGAAAUCCCUCAGCUUAACUGGGGAACUGCGUCUGAUACUGGUGUGGCUUGAGUGCAGGAGAGGAACGCGGAAUUCCAGGUGUAGCGGUGAAAUGCGUAGAUAUCUGGAGGAACACCGGUGGCGAAGGCGGCGUUCUGGACUGCAACUGACACUGAGGAACGAAAGCCAGGGGAGCAAACGGG